rnacentral:sRNA from 1 species
GGACCGCAUGGUACAGACUACCACCAAGU